rnacentral:rRNA from 1 species
CUACGGGGUGCACCAGUGAGGAAUAUUGCACAAUGGGGGGAACCCUGAUGCAGCAACGCCGCGUGGAGGAUGACGCAUUUCGGUGUGUAAACUCCUUUUAUAUGUCAAGAAAAUGACGGUAGCAUAUGAAUAAGCACCGGCUAACUCCGUGCCAGCAGCCGCGGUAAUACGGAGGGUGCAAGCGUUACUCGGAAUCACUGGGCGUAAAGGACGCGUAGGCGGGCUUGUAAGUCAGGUGUGAAAUCCUACAGCUUAACUGUAGAACUGCACUUGAAACUACGAGCCUAGAGUAUGGGAGGGGCAGAUGGAAUUAGUGGUGUAGGGGUAAAAUCCGUAGAUAUCACUAGGAAUACCUAAAGCGAAGGCGAUCUGCUGGAACAUAACUGACGCUAAGGCGUGAAAGCGUGGGGAGCAAACAGGAUUAGAUACCGCAGUAGUC